rnacentral:misc_RNA from 1 species
GGUUGAGCAGCACCGCCAUCUCCCAGAGACGGUUCUGUGUUGGCGUUCUUGUUGGUAGUCAUCGCUUGAUCCACAAAUCACAUCUCAAUGGACGAUCAGUUUAACCGAAUAAACUCUGAACCUGGUUUAGACAGAGAGAAAAGUAUAGAAGAGAAGGAGAAGGAAGCGUAAAGAUAGAAAGAGGAGAGAAGAGAAGAAAGAGUUUUGCAAGAAAUUUUCUGUGGUGGUGUGGGGGGUGGUGCGGCUUUUUUUU